rnacentral:misc_RNA from 1 species
CCAUCCGCCAGGUGACGCGAGUGUCUUCGUGAGGAACAUGGUGAGGAAGAAAUAUUUGCCAUUUGUUUCCGAGACGCUUGACUUAAAAGUGUAUUCCAAAUUCAUUACGGAAUUAAGGUGUCGAUCUACAUUUUCAGCCAUUAAAUGCAAUCUGGCAUAUAAUUUCAUUUGGCCAAAUAUAAAAUAUGAUGACGUGGGUCGAAACUGCUGUCCAUUUUGUCGAAAUGUCGGCAAAUGACCAAAUGUUAGCUGUACGUCUCAUCUCGUGCAGAAACACUUCAGAGCUAGCAAAGUCAGAGAUGGAGAUCCCUUUGCUCAACUGUUGCAGAAAUUUAGAACACAACAAAGUCUGAGCUUCAUGGCUGUUGUAUCAUUAAUGUGGUUUUGUUGCAGCCAGCUGGUGGAAAGUGUGAUGGGAGUCCUGUUGAGCUGCAGCCGCUGCAUGCAGUUUAUCGAGCUGGUGUUAUCCCACGUGUCACUGCAGGAAAACUUCUUGAAUUGGAGACUAGGAGUUCAUGCCUUCAUGGUCAGUUGGAGCGAGUUGGAGCUGUUUACGUUGUUGCUGUUUGGUGUCCAGUGGUUUUGCAGUCCCUUACCAGUUGAGAGAUGCUCUGAAAUGGAGUUUGUGCAGACUUGCAGUUCAACAUCACACUUAAAUGUAACAUUUGUCUAUGUUGGUGUCCAUGCAGUGUUGAACGGUUGGGUAAAAUAGUUCAUGCUGCCUGAUGGCUGUCGGUCUUAUUUGAUCGGUUGCAUUUUUUCGAUAUGUCGUCCCUUGCUACCUGUAUCGGCGUUUUGUUGAAUCGUUUGCUGCCGUUCCAUAGACUUGAUCCAUUGGUAACACUGACUGAG